AAGCCGUGUGGCAUCUGAUGACCUUGGUAACUGGAGGACCACUGAGCCAUGAGCAGGUACUCACUGAGCACAGCAGCCAAACCUGGGAAGGAUUCUGCUGGAUUCGGUUCAUGAGUGUGUGCAAGAGUCUGUGAUAGCAAAUGAAGUUAUCUGUGAAACAGAAACAGACUCACAGACAUGGAGAACAGACUUGGGGUUGCCAAGAGGGGGUUGGGGGAUGGAGGAGGAAUGGACUGGGAGUUUGGGAUAAGCAGAUGCGAACUAUUAUAUAAAGGAUGGAUAAACAAGGCCCUCUUGUAUGGUGCCGGGAAUGCUAAAGCAUAAUGGAAAAGAAUAUGAAAAAAUAUAUACUAUGCAUAACUGAAUCCCUCUGCUGUAAAGCAGAGUUCACAUUGUCAAUCAACUAUACUUCAAUUAAAUUUUUUUUUUUAGAGAGUGCGUGAUAGGAUAAGGUCUAAUAAUGUUUAGUGGUACUUGAGGAAUCCAGCCUACAUAAACUUACAUAAAACUAGCUUGCCAAAGUUCCCUUGCAGGGAAUUUCCACUUUGAACAUGAUGGGGUUACAUCCCACCCGGCCUUCCUUUGGAUAAACUGAGCAAAGUGCAAAACAACAAUAACAACAGCAAAAAACUCAACAAGCCAAAGCAGGCAGAUUUUGGAAGAGAGUCAAUACUUGGAGAGAGUGUAUACCUUGGUGGAAGCCUUCCUUUUUGCUCCUAUUAGGUUGGGGUGGGUUUUUUUUUUGUUUGUUUGAUUUGGGGGUUUGUUUGUUUUUGUUUUUGUUUUGAGCUUUACCCUGAAGGCAUCUGCAGACCCAUUGGAAGUACAGGAAGGCUGACACACCAAUAGAAAUUUCUUCCUCUUUCUGGGCAGGUGAGCCAGGGAAGGGACUCAGGGCUUUCAGAGCUUUCAGAGAGUGAAGGGGGAAAUCUCAGAAAGGAGAAUGAGAGAAUGAGGACUCUACAUACAGUCUGUGGGAAAACCUGCCAUGUCUCUGGCUAACCCUGGGACCAGACAUGGAACAAACUGAAGUCAGUCUGAACCCAGGGCUGAGGCCCCACUCAAUACACGGGUGAUGGUUUGCAGUUUGAGUAAAACCUGUUUAAUUGCCUACUGAAAUGUUAAAUAUCAAUGCUCUGAAGGAGUGUUAUGUUGUUUUUUUUUUAAUUUAUUAUUACUGUUAUUUUUUGCUUUUGGGGGGCCACACCCAUGGCAUAUGGAGAGUCCCAGGCUAGGGGUCAAAUUGUAGCUACAGCAGCUGGCUUACGCCACAGCCACAGCAACACAGGGUACAAGCUGCAUCUACAACCUAAACCACAGCUCAUGGCAACACCAGAUCCUUAAACUACUGAGCGAGGCCAGGGAUCAAACCGGCAACAUCAUGGUUCCUAGUUGGAUUCAUUUCUGCUGCACCAUAAUGGGAACUCCAGGAGUGCUAUAUUCUUGGAAAAAAAAAAAAAUGUCAUUCUAUGGUUGUUGAAAGCAAUGUUUUAUAAAUGUCUAUUCUGUUUGUUAAUCAUAUUGUUUCAAUCUUCUAUAUCUUCCCUGACAUUUUAAUUUUUUAUUGCAUCAAUUUAGUUAGAGGGUCCCCCCCACAUACAAGUUAUGGAUUUUUCCCCUUAUCUUCCGUGGUUCUGUAUUCUCCUUCAUAUACUUUUAGGCUGUAUUAGGUGUACACAAAAGCGUGAGAUGGUUACCUUCCUUUUAAAUGAGGUGUCUUAUCUUAGGAAGUGGUCCAUGUAUUCCCUAGAGAUGCUUUUUAUCUUAUCCACUCUCUCUGAUAUCAAUUAGGCUACCCCAGCUUCCCUGUGAUUUACAUAUGCAAAUGCCUAUGAAUAUGUUUAUCUUCUUAUUUACCCUUUUUGGAAUUGAUGCACCACGUAAGUCUAUGGAUUGAUGAUUUCAUCAGUUUUAGAAAAUUCUCAGCCAUUAUCUCUUCAAAUGGUCCCUGUGUCUUUCCCCCUCUCCUUCGAUAACUAAUUAAACAUAUCCGAAAGUUCUCCACCUCUUUCUUUAGCUCUUUCCUGCAUUUUCCACAAAUUUUUUACUCCGUACUAAAAUUCUGAGUGAGUAAUCUUCCCAUUAAGUGCUUCUGCUUUGUGUUAUCUGCUUCUUACACCUCUACUGAGCAUUUAACUCUAGCUAUUAUAUAUGUAUAUAAUAUAUUAUAUAUACAUAGAGACAGACAGACAGACAGACAUGCCACUUGGUUCUUUUUCAAACUGCAAGGUCAUUCUUUCAAUUCUUGCUGCCUCUUUUCUGAGCUUGUCAUUUAUCCCCUUUCACGCUGAGGAUGUUUGUUUUAUAAUCUGUAUCCGGCCUUUUGGGAGAUGGUUUCUGCUGGUUAUCACUCAUGUUUCCUUGUUACCUUGUGUCAUGGUUCUCCUUGAUGGAAUACUGGUCAUAACUGUUGAACACUUGGGGAUUCUCCAGUGCCUAUAAUGCAGGUGGCCUCCUUCUAAAGAGACUUACCAUUCACAUUUGCUAGUACCUGAGUGUGUUUUACCCACUGGGUACCACUUCCAACUGAGUUCAAGGCUUGGGAUUCCCUGGCCCAUCCCAGCUCUGCGUUUCCAGGGUGCGGAUCUGUGUGAGGCUGGUCUGUGGCCAGAAUAGUGGUUUUACCCCCAUGCCAUGGCAAUGCAACCUUUAUAUCAAGGCAGCCCUGAGGUUGGGGAGGUCACUUGUAGUUUUCCUUUACCCUGAAAAUGUAGCCUUUUUGGGGGGAUCCCAGCUCAGACCUGAGGGAGGAUGCUUUCUAAGGCACUCCACUUGAGAUGUGCUUUGGUCUUUGGCUUCUGCUUUACUCCACUUAAGGCAAUGGAGCUAAAGUCCAAGCAUGAGGGAUCAGCAAAGUCUUUAGUUCAGAAAUGUCUUUGAUGCUUUCAUGUAAAGCUUGGGUAAAUUUUCUUAUUGAAGUAAAAAGUACAUAAAAAUCCAAAGGGAAAAAAUUAACUUUAUUUCCACCAACUACAGUUAACUACUGUUUAUAUCCUCUCCUAUUUCUUUUGCCCUAUUUUUAAAAACGAUUCAUGCUCUUUUGAAGUAAUUUAGACAAGAAAGAAGUGUAAUUAUCUGAGCAUUUGAAAACUUGUGUUGUCCAGUCAUGGAGAACAGACUUGUUACCGAGGGGGAGGAGGAGGGAGUGGGAUGGUCCAGGGAGUUUGGGGUUAGCAGAUGCAAAGUGUUACAUUUCGAAUGGAUAAGCAAUGAGGUCCUGCUCUGUAGCACAGGGAACUGUAUGCAGUCACUUGUGAUAGAACAUGAUGGAAGGUAAUAUGGGAAAAAGAAUGUAUACCUCUGUGUGUGUGUGUGUGUGUGUGUGUGUGUGUAUGACUGGGUCACUCUGCUGUACAGCAGAAAUUGACAGAACACUGUAAAUCAACUAUACUAACUUUUUAAAAAUGUAACCUCAAAAAAUAAAGACAAAGAAAAAUUAUGCUGUCAACAUUCGACAACAUUCUAGACACCACAGACAUACAUACAACUUUGUUUUGCAGGUGGAUAGAGAAAAUAUUGAUGGAUGGCUAAACAGAAAGAUAAAAUUGCUUUUGUAGAGAUGAUAACUAUAAAUGUUAUGUCAUUCAGAUAUCAGAUUUUUCUUGAAUUUCGUGUAAGAAAAAUACAAGGAAGUGAAAUCGAAGGAAUGGUUCAACUUCAUAUGUCUCGUCAUCACAAGGAAACUCAUUUCCUAAAAUAUGCCUCUAAGGUUCAGGUUUUUAAAAAAAGCACAGGUGUAAACAUGAAAAACAUUAAGAUACUGGAGUCAUUAUGCUUUUUGAAAACAUUACAUGCUUCAAAUUUCAAAAGUACUUAUAAGAGGGAAGUUGGGAGGAAGAAUAUCCCUAUCUUUCAUAGCAGAUUGCCUAUGAGUUCUAUCAUUUUUACAUUAUCCCCGUUACUGCAUUGACAUUCAUUUCUUUUGCUAUAAUUCUCGUGGUUGUUUUGCUCUUUGUUCAAAUGGAUUCAAAGUUAACACUGGGCUUUCACUUCUUCCUUCUUUGUUCCUGGAUUCUUUGAGACAUCUGAAUUUUGUUAUCAAGCCUUCAGAAAAACUCAAGGGUGCACUUUGCCAAAUAAAUUCAUCUUUGAAAAUACAACCUUACAAUUGAGUGACAAAUGAACUGCAAUAGAAUAUUCCUGACAAAGUCUUGUUUCUAUGAGGGUUGUGCAGAUUGCUAAUUCUCAAACUUUAAUCUGCAAUAGAAAUGACCUAGGGGCUUGUUACAAGUGCAUGGCAUGGGUCCUGAGAUACUGUGUUUCUCACAAGGGUCCAGAUAGUGGCCAUUCUGCCAUGUUUGUGGACUCUGGAUCCCAAAUGUUGUUGUAGGGAAAGCUAGCACCAGCUUUACUUCUCCCCUCUUGAGGAUGAUUUGUUUCUUCUGCCUGGAUAUCUGAAGAUUUCUUCUAUCCUGAGAUUCAGUCAUCACAUUGGAUUUGAGCAUUCUCUUUCAGACUUUAGGAGAGAAAGUGUUCUUUUAAAUUUGGAGAUGCAGUGUUUUUUCUUUAUCUGUGGGAUAUGCCUCUUGGGUUUUACAAACACACACACACACACACACACACACACACACAAUUUGUUUUUUUGGCCAUGCCCGUAACAUAUGGAAGUUCCCCAGCCAGGAAUAAAACCCACGCCACAGCAGUAACCAGAGCCACAGCAGUGACAAUGCCAAAUCUUUAACCUGCAGAGCCACCAGGGAACUCGUUGAAUUAUAUUUUAAAAUACACCUGUAUCGUCUUACAGGAUACCUAUUUCAUGGAGAGAAAUUACACUGUUUGGAUGAUCUUGGUCUGUGUUCCGGAUAUAUUAGUUUUGUUUUUUCUUUAUUCUGUGUAAUUUUUACAUGCAUCCACUGUCUGAAGCUCCCCUAUGCCAGUAAUUCAGUUUCCAGUAGUGUCUAUUCUAUUAGCUGUUAUUUCUAAUUCUUUAAACUUAGUUUUCUAAUUACGUUGUAUUAAACCUUGUGAUGUUUUUUCCUUAGGUCAGUAAUACUCCUCCUUAUUCUGUUCUUGAGCUAUGUUUUCCUCUAAGGUGACUCUGUGCCUCUUUCAAGCUAUAUUCCUACUUCCCCUUAUAGGAUAUUUGCAUAGUUAUGAAGUUGCGUUUGAAGUCAUGAGUGCCUCUGCCUCAUCUGAUACAGUGUGAUGACCUCUUGACUUUUUUCCCACAGUGCAUUAUUCCUGUUAAUUCAGCCUUUGGACCAAUUCCCUCAGUCCAGAGUAUGGCCCUGGAACCUUUGUAUCUGCACAGAGAGUCAGGCUCAUUGUUCAUUUCUCUAUCUUACUUCCCAGCUCCCAACAACAGUGAUUUAUGGGAAAUACAUAUAUUUGGACAUUCAGAUGACAAAAAUAUAUUUCUCACAUAUAUUUGUUCUGCAUUCACAGUUCCUGGCUCACAGCUCCCCAAAUCCUUGGACUUAGCAUCCCUAGUGAUAAGAGAAAUGGGAGCAUUUUUGUUAUAAUGUUUGGUGUCUUGUCCUCCAUUUCUGCAAAAGCUUCAGAGUCAUAAAAGUGGAAUUGGUGUCUGGUUAUUUCCAGGAAGCCUCUUUCCAACAAGACUGGGUUUAUGUUAAUGAGGAGACUUUUGGAAAGCACCUGAGGAUGGGGCUAGUUGCCAAGGAAACCAAUUGUCCUACUCCCUGAUUUCCGAGGAAGGGAGAGAGGCUGGAGGAAUCGAUCAGCAAUGGCUAGUGAUUUAAUCAACCAUGCCUAUGUAACGAAACCUCCAUAAAAAUGCCCAGGAAGAGGGUGUUUGGAGGGCUUCCCAGUGGGGAAACCAGAAUGCUUCCAUGUGUCGCCAUGCUGGGCCCCAAGCACCAGGAAGACAGAAGCUCCUUUGUUCAGGACCUCACCCUAUGUAUCCCCCUCUUCAUCUGGCUGUCGGCUCAAAUCCUUUAAUAUCCUUUGUAAUAAACCGGUAACCUAGUGAGUGAAAGGGUUUCCUGAGUCCUGUGAGCUGCUCUAGUAAAUUAAUUGAACCCGAGGAAAGAGACAUGGGAACCUCUGACUUAAAGCCAGCCGGUCAGAUGCACAGAUGACGGUCUGGAUUGAGACUGGCAUCUAAAGUCCAGGGAGGAGGUCUUGGGAACCUUCGGUCUGUGGCCUGUGGGAUAUAAGGACAGAUAACAACCUGGGCUUGCAGUUGACAUCCGACGUAGAGGGCAGUCUUGUGGGACCUAGCCCUUUAUCUGUGGAGUCUCACACUCUCUGGCACACCUCAUGGAUAUCACAGAUUCGGUUCCAGGCUAAUUAAUAAAUCGACUAGAUCACCGUAACGAAUAUAAUAAUAAUGAAAAAAGUUUGAAAUAUUGUGAGAAUGACCAAAAUGUGACACAGACACAAAGUGAGCAAAUGCUGUUGGGAAAAUGGUGCAGAUAGGCUUGCUGGAUGCAGGGUUGCCAACAACCUUCAAUUUAUUUUAAAAAUGCCAUAAAUCAGCAUGCAAUAAAAACAGGCAUGCCUGUAGUGUCAGAAUUAGGUUGAAUUGUAGUACAUGCAGCUGGUAUCCUGAGCACUGCUUGGUGGUAUAGGGGAAAUGCCCCCUCCACACAUUGGGAUUGGGUGCAGAACCCAAAAUAACUAUUUUACUAGUCCUCUGAGGAAAAAAAAAAAAGAAAAA
rnacentral:lncRNA from 1 species